AAAAAGAGAUGGAGUGGAGGAUGCUGUGGAGCGCUAAACAGUUUCAUCGCCUGUGUGGUUCUCAGCUAUCGUGCUACGAACAUGAGAGAGGCUGCCUGUCAGACAGAGCUGGAGGACAGAAAUCUCCUCUAAGAGGUCAGCACUACAAAAAGAUGCUAAAUCCUCAAGCUUAACCUUUUGCCUAAACUUUUUAAGACAGAAGAAGCCAGAGGCAAGAAAAGUACCCAUCCUUAAGAAUGAAGACAUCUAUGUCAUCACUGACAUCACAAGGGGGACUUGCCUGUUCAUACAUUUCUCUCGCAUUCAUUGGCCCCUCUGGAGAAGGACUGUGCUGUACUUUGGAAUAAAGUUCUGCUCUCCCUG